AUUAAUCCAACCCUCAAAACUAUCCCCAUUCCUAAUAUUCUUUACAAAAUCAUAGAGACUUUGUCCAACAACCGCCCAUUUUUUGGUAGAAGAUUGCAUGAAACCCAUCAAUUUCUAGAGCUUUCAAAGGAGCCAUUUCAAACACAACCUUUUUGAUUUCCUCAUUCGUGGUAGUGGCCUUUAGGGAAUCAAACUCAACUUCGGUCAUCUUAUAAAGCAACCCUUGUUGGAUAUAUCCAGUAUCCAGUGGCCUUUCUUUUGUGAAGAGAGCUUUGUAAAACUUCGUAGCCAAUUGCUAUAACACUUUAGGGUCAUUACACCAACU
rnacentral:lncRNA from 1 species